UAUGUAGGGCGCAAGCGUUAUCCGGAAUUAUUGGGCGUAAAGAGCUCGUAGGCGGUUUGUCGCGUCUGCCGUGAAAGUCCGGGGCUCAACUCCGGAUCUGCGGUGGGUACGGGCAGACUAGAGUGAUGUAGGGGAGACUGGAAUUCCUGGUGUAGCGGUGAAAUGCGCAGAUAUCAGGAGGAACACCGAUGGCGAAGGCAGGUCUCUGGGCAUUAACUGACGCUGAGGAGCGAAAGCAUGGGGAGCGAACAGG
rnacentral:rRNA from 1 species